rnacentral:lncRNA from 1 species
CGUACUCCAGCGCCACCACCACCUCCGACGCGUAGAACCUGCAAAGCCGACGCAACAACAUUAUUCUACCCAUCCUAAUGCCACAAAAACAAAAGGUACACCGAUCACCACUACCAGUUCUUUAUUACAUUGCUGGCCAUAAUCAUGCAUCGAAGUCAAUUAAAACGGAGAAAACGACUGCUACAUGCAACUACCGCUUGCUGCAUAAAAUACAAGACUGUUGCUUUCUUCACGAUGGAUUCCACGUGAAGGUGUUUUCCAUUACACGACGUCAUUUACUCCACCACCAGCCCUGGCGACGGAAGUAUUACUCUCCCCACCUUAGAACAUGUGCAUGUGCAGGCCGAGUUCUACGGUUUAAGGUGGUGGUGCAGCGCGUGAUAAAAGAAGGAUGGAGACGACAAUAGAAGGAUGGAAUGGCAACACGGUCGAUCGUACGCUGCGGCAGGAGGCUAUGUCGGCGAAGCUGAUGGAAGCGGGGGGCGUCAACGGCUGGUCGUGCCCACAGACAGCGUCACCAUCGACGGCUACAGUGUCGGGAUGGCGUAGCAUUCUCGCACAAUGAAGAAGAGGAAAAAGGCGGGGUUGGGAUGGGGUGAUGAUACUUAGUGCCAAAGCGGACGAUGUUACAGGAUGCUGCUAAGUGGGAAUGAAUAAUGGUGGAGCCACGUAAUAAUUUCCUGUUUACAUCUUUCCUUAAUCUACGCUUUUGAUUUCCUCGAGAAAGCUUAAAAUCCCGAAUCCCCGGGUUGAAGGGUCC